UGCAGUCGAGCGGUAACAGAUCCAGCUUGGUGGAUGCUGACGAGAGCGGCACAGGUGAGAAUUGCAUAUGAAUCUGCGCGGCAGUGGGGGAGAACCUGGGGAAACCCAGGGUAUUACCCCGUACAUCCUACAGGAGAAAGGGGGCUUCAGCUCCCGCUCUCGCAUGAACCUAUGUCGGAUUAUCUAAUUGGUGAGGUGGUGACUCACCGGGGCCACGAUGCGAAGAUGGUCUGAUGGGAUGAUCAGCCGAAUCGGGACUGAGACACUGACCGAACUCCUACAGGAGGCAGCAAUGGGGAAUAUUGGACAAUGGGGGGAACCCUGAUCCAGCCAUGCCGCGUG
rnacentral:rRNA from 1 species